UAUAAAGGAAUGUUAUAUUGGCUGAUCUGUGAUUUUAUUCUUGUGUAUGAUCCUUACACUUGUCCUAAAAAAUUUUCUCGUGUAAUUGAUACGCCAACUUGUUAUAAUAUUGCGGACUACCAAACCAUUGGAAUAUUUCAAGAUCGUCUUCAUGCAACAUGCAUUGGGAGUUGUAACCGCCAAGAAUUUCCCUUACAUUAUAUAUGGGAGCUGGAGGACUACAACAUGGGAAAAUGGAGUUUGGUGCACAAGAUUUACGUUAAUGAAAUUCCGCGUCUCUUGAACUUCCUAGAUCUUGAUCUUGAUCCUAAAAUUAAAGAGACAGGAUUUCACCACCGUGAUGGAAGUGCUUUUUAUUGGACUGAUUCUGUUGGGUGGUCAGUUAGUAAUGGGAUUGCCCAUUCAAUUACUGAGCAGUGGUGGCCAACACCGGUGCUGGCACUAACCUAACCUGCACAAUUAAAAAUAAUGAAAAUACUAUUACGAAUUCAUAGGAAAAAAGGUGAAAGGUAGAUAUAGAGUUUUGUCACCUUCUCCCCAUCUAUUGGAAAAA